UUUAAGCCUGCAGGGCAAGCAGAUUUGGGUACCACUGCUCUGUGUCAUUCUGACUUAAGAUUGUCCAUUGCUGAAUAUAUUAUCGACACUGUUAUUAAGUUGACUCUGGUUGCUCGGUAAAUAGACCUCUUUCCUUUGCUUGUCAAGAGUUAAACGACCAGACAUACAACGUGAUAUAAUUACAUACUCAUUGAUCACCAUUAGUGUCAUUGGCUAACAAUUUCCUCAAAUCAAGCAGUUCACUCAUUGGUGGUCAUUAAGUACAUUAGCAUAUUACGUGAAGACCUGGGUAAGCUAUAAGUACCAGACGUUAACAGUAGAACACCAAGAAGCGGCCUCAAGGAGACUUCGGUACACAUCAGCAGGCACUGUCUUAGGUUACCUUUAUAUCUACCACUACUUAAAACUUGAAGCACCAUGAACUUCCUCCUCCAAACACUAUGUGUGUUGUCCGCGUGGGAGAUGACCGCACUGGCCACCUCCAACUGGAACCAAGAGGCCAGAGAUUACAUCCUGGAGAUUCACAACGACAAGAGGCGGGGAGAAGGUGGAUGCCUGAUGAACAAACUGACGUAUGACAUGGAGCUAGAGAGACAAGCCAAACAGUGGGCUGAAGGCUGUGUUUUUAAACAUGAGAUGAAAGAAGGCCGAGGAGAA
rnacentral:sRNA from 1 species